AUGGCAGAAGAAAGAGCAUCUGACAAAAUGGCAUCUGAUAUGGAAGAGUAUAUUUGGCAAAGGUGUGUCACUGAAUUCCUCCACAUGGAAAAAAUGGCACUCAUUGACAUUCACUGACUGUUACUGAAUGUUUAUGGAGACCAAACAGUGGAUUAGAGCUCAGUGCAACAGUGAGUGGUGUGUUUUAGCAAUGGUGACAGCAGCAUGAAAGACAAGCCAUGACCCUGAUGGCCAUACACAACUGUUGCACCACAAAAUAAAGAAUCUCUCAAUAUAUCAUCAUCAGAUUUAUAAUGCUGAUUUUAUGAAGUAGAACUAUACAGAGAAGUUGGAAGUGAACAGUGCUCAGAAAAUGCACCAGAAAUUACUCUGUCCAGGGGACUGUGCCUAUAUUGCUACAAAAAGAAAGGCAGAGCCUCAGGACUGCUGAAUUGGAUAUUUGCGACAUGUUGAAGAACUUAAAAGAGUAAAUGUGAAAGGUGCAAAGUAUCUUUUGAAGAAUAAGAGCUUCCUCUUUCUAAAAGAAAACUAACCAAG
rnacentral:lncRNA from 1 species